AGGUAUUGGCAGGAUCCUGCUGGUAUAAUUUUCGUGACAAAUUUGGUGCGGGAAAGGCUGAAGAGACCAACUGCAAGGAACAAGGCCUCUCUCCCCGAGAUGCAAGUUAUCUUCACUGCGGUACCUCACUAUAGGAAAGAUUGGUGCCAUUGAUGGGACGCACGUGAUGAUUGUGGCUCCUAGAGAGUAUAAGGUAGAGUUUGUCAACAGGAAGAGAUACCACAGCAUCAACGUGCAGUUUGUGUUUGAUGCUUGAUACCACAUUAUUGAUGUGGUUGGAAAGUGGCCGGGAUUGGUUCACGAUGCAAGAAUACUUGCUCAAAGUGGACUCUGCACGAUAUUUGACAGCGGCAUCGUCCCAGCUGGGUGUCACUUACUGGGAGAUAGUGGCUAUCCCAGCAAGAAGUGGCUACUGACUCCAUACCUCAGACCACAGCCUGGAGCACAGUCUUCUUAUAACAGGGCCCACAAGAAAACCUGCAGCAUUGUUGAGAGAGGCACUGGGCAGCUGAAGCCACAUUUUCACAUGCUACACAGUGAAAUCCAAGUUGGUCCUCCACCCAAGGUCUGCCAAAUUGUAGAGGUUUGUGCAUUGCCGCACAACAUCUGCAAAGCAAGAAACAUCAUUCUUCCUGAGGAAGAAGAACAUCUUGCUGCAGCCGAGGAUGGAGGCAAUGAGGAGCGACCCCCAGCACAGAAAGUUCAAAGUCGCCAUGAAGGAAUCCUUUACAGGGAUGAAUUUGUUGUGCUUCACUUAAACAUUGCUGAGUGAUGAGACACCAGUGUCAUGACUGCUGAGAUUGGUGUUAAUCUCAUGUGGAUGAUCUCCUCCUCAUCCACAUAGACCAGUGAUGUACCAGGCAAGUCUGGCCCCUGUUGGUGCCACAUCACUGGUGCUGGAUGUGGUGUGGCAGGUGCCUCCUCCUCAACACCCACUGCCUCGGUCACCACUUCUCUCUGUUGGGCUGCCUCUGCCACUUUCCCAGCAUCAUCUGCUGCCUGAACACUGCUGGCAUCAUUAGUUCUAACUUCAGAAACUAAGCUGAUAAUGUUUUUGGUUUUAUUGCUAAGGACAAAAGUAACAGAAACCAGUAAAUCUAGCUAAGGGUA
rnacentral:lncRNA from 1 species